rnacentral:rRNA from 1 species
UGGGGAAUUUUGGACAAUGGGCGCAAGCCUGAUCCAGCAAUGCCGCGUGCAGGAAGAAGGCCUUCGGGUUGUAAACUGCUUUUGUCAGGGAAGAAAUCCUCUGGGCUAAUACCUCGGGGGGAUGACGGUACCUGAAGAAUAAGCACCGGCUAACUACGUGCCAGCAGCCGCGGUAAUACGUAGGGUGCGAGCGUUAAUCGGAAUUACUGGGCGUAAAGCGUGCGCAGGCGGCUUUGCAAGACAGAUGUGAAAGCCCCGGGCUUAACCUGGGAACUGCGUUUGAAACUGGGGAGCUAGAGUGUGGAAGAGGGGGGUGGAAUUCCAGGUGUAGCAGUGAAAUGCGUAGAGAUCUGGAGGAACACCGAUGGCGAAGGCAGCCCCCUGGGCUAACACUGACGCUCAUGCACGAAAGCGUGGGGAGCAAACAGGAUUAGAUACCCUGGUAGUCCACGCCCUAAACGAUGUCAACUAGUUGUCGGGGAAGCAAUUCCUUGGUAACGAAGCUAACGCGUGAAGUUGACCGCCUGGGGAGUACGGCCGCAAGGUUA